UACGUAGGGGGCGAGCGUUGUCCGAAGUUACUGGGCGUAAAGGGCGCGUAGGCGGAAUGGCAAGUCGGUCGUGAAAUCCUUCGGCUCAACCGAAGAACGUCGAUCGAAACUGCCGUUCUUGAGGAUUGCAGAGGAGACUGGAAUUCCCGGUGUAGCGGUGAAAUGUGUAGAGAUCGGGAGGAACACCGGUGGCGAAGGCGGGUCUCUGGGCAAUUCCUGACGCUGAGGCGCGAAAGCGUGGGGAGCAAACGGG
rnacentral:rRNA from 1 species